AUAUUUGAGGGUUUUCCCGAGAAGCGCCCGGCGCGGGUGAGGAGUCAAGGGGGCCGCCGGAGGCUGGUUUCUCGCGGCGGACCGGGCGGGAGGCUGCAGAAGCUUCUUUGGCGACUUCGGGUCCGCGGCUGUGUGCGUGACCUCAUUUUCCGUGUGUACGUAUCCUAAAUCCUGACCGAGCUUUAUGGAGCCCAGUUGUGGCGGGCUUCCAGGACUCGAAGCCACCAGGCCCCACGUGAAACCAAAGGCCACGUGUUCAGCUGCUGCACCCUUGGAGGAGAGACGGUUCCGUGUCCUCGUGGGUGUCACUGGGAGUGUUGCAGCCCUGAAGUUGCCUCUUUUGGUGUCAAGGCUUUUGGACAUUCCUGGUCUGGAAGUAGCAGUGGUCACAACUGAGAGAGCCAAACAUUUCUACAGCCCCCAGGACGUUCCUGUCACCCUCUACAGCGACACUGAUGAAUGGGAGCUGUGGAAGUGCCGAUCCGACCCAGUUCUCCACAUUGACCUGCGGAGGUGGGCAGACCUUAUGCUGGUGGCUCCUCUUGAUGCCAAUACGCUGGGAAAGGUGGCCAGUGGCAUCUGUGACAACUUGCUUACCUGCGUCAUCCGGGCCUGGGACCGCAGCAAGCCCCUGCUCUUCUGCCCUGCGAUGAACACCGCCAUGUGGGAGCACCCCAUCACCGAGCAGCAGGUGGGCCAGCUCAAGGCCUUCGGCUACGUGGAGGUCCCCUGUGUGGCCAAGAAGCUGGUCUGUGGAGACCAAGGACUCCUGCUCUUGGAGCCCAGCUGCUAUGCUGUGAGAAGGCCCAGGCCCACGCCAGUGGACGUGGGGGUGCACUGCCCGCAGCCCGCAUCUGAGUGAGCAACUUUUGGACUGACUUUCGCCCCAGCCACCCUCUGACUGCCACCACAACAGAGACUCCAGCUGAGCCUGGUGACUCCAGGCCUGUGAAGAGAACAAUAAAUUGAUUGUUCUUGUUUUCCACCACUAAGUUUUGGGGGCAGCUGAUUCACAACAGUGACUGGAACAUAUUCUAUCACAGGCUCCUUCCUGUACCAUGAGCGGCCUUGGACUCGUGUGUGGGCACCCGGAACGUCUGUUCAAAUUCUGUACUCUCCCGUGUCCUCCUGCACAAUAGCCACCGUUGGCCAGCCCUCAGGCUUAGAAGUCCAUGUCCUUGCUGCCCUCGGAAGCCAGGUGAAGGCAGGACAGGCCACCUGUACCAGCUGAGGAAACCCUACUGCCCAGCAUCAGACCAGAGCCCUGCAGGCCCCUCAGACUCUCCAGGGCUGGGCCCUACCUCCCUCUAGUGCCUCUUGGACCCAGAGCUCCUAAAACCCUUGGAAUUUCCUGUGUGAUGGGAGUGUCUUUUAUUAUUCCUUAAGAAGCUUCAUUGAUUAGAGAGAGAGAGAGAGAGAAGAGAACCUACACCAGCAGGGAGUCACAGUGGACAUCCACCUAGAGCUUAAGGGGAUCCUGAGAUUUCAUUCUGCACUGGGCCUGGCAGAUUACGUAGCCAAUCCUGUAUGCAGUGUUGUGCUGGAGCCAGCUCUCCCUGGCUCCCAACUCCACGUUGGGUGAUGUCAUGUUAGAAGCUUGAAAGGGCCGUGGUGAUAACAUUAACAACACAGAAAGCAGGCAAGUGCUGCAAAAUAGGACAUUGUUUUCGACCUGGUUGUUAAACAUUGACCAGCACACCAUUGUACAGAGCACUCAAUAAUGCUGAAAACUUCUUACUCUUGUUAUUUCAUUGACUAAAGCAGGCCAGCCUAAACUUCUAGGGGGACAGUGCAGAGCCCUGGAUGGAAGACUCGAGAAGAAAACAGCACUGACCCAGACCAUUCCACCACAGUUUCAGGGAUGAAGAAACAAGCUCAGAGAGGUAAUGGACUCACUUAAGACCACACAGGAGGACAACUACUGAGCUCACAUUGGGGCCCAAGGUUCUGGCUCUUAGAAGAGGCUCUUUAGAGCCACAUGUCCCCUGUCCCGUGCAGUGCCUAGCACAGAGUUCUGAACUGCAGGAAUAAACUGGGAUGAGGGGGCUCAGGAGGAGUAGGCAAAAGGGAAGCUGGGGGAAGGACUCAGAAGUCCCAACCCUACACUUUUCUCAUCUUCCAGGAUCCUCACAGCCUGAGGCAGAGGCCCGGGCAAAUGGGCAGUAGGACAGAAUGUUCCAGCAACCACUGACUAGAUCAGAGACACAAAUAUUUGCUAAGCCCAGGGGCCUCCCAGACAUGCUGGCAGGGUUCAGAGGAACAAGUGUAUGGAGACUCUCCCUCUGGAGCCAGGGAAUCCAGGAGAGGGAGAAACCCCUCAAAGAGUUCCCCCCAAACCCUCGACCCCAUUUGCUUCAUCACAUUUGUAUAUGAGCCCCUCACACCCUCAAGUAUGUAAAGCCGAGUCACAAAGCACCUUCUCAGCCAUGAGCAGAAUAGGGAGCUGACCCCCAUUUUACAGAUGAGGAAACUGAGGCCCGCAGAGGGAAGAGGGCACGCCCAAGGGCUGGGGAAUGGGAGAACCUGAAGUGGAGGCAGGAUGGGAAAGCUCACCCCCAACUCCGACAGUCUCGGAUCCUGCAUCUGGUCUGCUGCUCCCCUACUCGAGAACUGCCCUGGACGCUCACUGGCCUGAAUGAGUUAGUUGCUAGUCCCUACUGACCCCUAGACCCUCUUCUCUGGCCAGACCUCCCAAACUCAGUUUUUACAGCUCCCACAGGCUGCUUUCUCCCCAAGGGAACCUCCUCUCUCUUCUUACCUCCCAGCUCAGGAAGCCCUUCCCCCCUCACACUCUCCUCAAAUCUGCACCCUCCUGCCUUAUGAAUCUCCAACCUGGCCUCAGUGCAGGAAGCCCUCCUGGACUGCUCCUGCUCACACAAGAGGGCUCUUGUCCUCUCAGGAGUAGGAGCCAGAGGUGUCUGGGUCCCUUUCAGGAGUGGGAGUUAAGCAGGGGUCUAUGUCCUAGUUGCAGCUUUGUCACCAACUUACUGGGUGACCUGGGGCUACCCUGCUCUGUCUGAGCCUCAGCUCCCUCAUCCGGAUUCAGUUUGCCUGCCUCACCAGGGAAUUGAGUCUGGGUGGGAAAACUUUGGCAGUGGGCACAGAUCACAGCUGCUGGGGUUCUUGUUGGCAUCAGCAUUGCUCCAAUCUUGGGCUCCAUCCAAACCCAUUGUCAGCCAGCCACACACUGUCUCUACUUCUGCCUUUUCCCUAGGGGCAGGAGGCCUGAGACUGGCCUGAGAGCUCAGCUGGGGUGGGUGCUGGGAGCACAGGCACUCCUGUCCUCCUCCACUAGCCCCAGACAGCCAGGCCUGGGUAUGGAGCUGGGAGGGGAUGCACUACAAGAGGUUGGAGGCCACCUUGAGUCCCAGCUCCUAGGCAAUUCUGCCCUUCAGCCCUCCAGGGUGUUAACUUUUCCCAAUCAAGAGCAAACUCUAUCUCCAUGGCAGCAAAAUUAGGAAGGGCCCCUGGGAAAUGUUGGAGCCCUCCCCUCCCCCAGGCAGACUUUCGGAAGGCCCAAAGAAGUGUUCCCCACAAUGCCUAGAAUCAGAGACUGUCAUGGCAAUGCAUCAUUUAGAAGCCUGCUCCCCAUCGUACAGAUGAGGAAACUGACACAGAGAGAUGCAGUGACUUGCCACCACUGCAGUGAAGACGCUAGGAUGUUCAGAUAGCAGGGCCCUGGUCUUGAAACUGCGUGCGCAUAGCAGGCUCCGGCUUUUUAUUAAGUUUCAAGGUUAUUUUGAGUUGCUUUGGGGGCUCAGGCCCUUUCAGAGUUACGAUUGGCACCGCCACUCCUCCAGGUCUUAGAAGGUCUAACGGUGAAACAAGACCAACACCUGGAGCUUUGCCCAGGGGCUCUGGACCCUUGGAAACCGAGAGAGCACGGAGCAGCGCUCCUGCAGUGAGGGGCGUGGGCUCCGCGGGGCGGGGCGCGCCGGGGGCGGGGCCGAGAAGGCCGUGACUCCACCCCGGGUAAACUCUCCUCUCGGGUAAACAAGCGCCGGCGGCGCUUGGGGCUUCUUCUGCAAGUCCGGCGCCAAGUUACAUCACGGUUCCCGGGAGCUUCCCGCCCCAGCGGCCAGGUCCCCGAGGCCAUCGCUCGCCCGCCCGCCGCCUGUGUCCGAGGAGCAGAGGGCCGGCCAGGGCAGGAAGGCUUCCAAGUUUUCCCCGGAGGCCCCUGGGACUUCGUUGAAACCGGGUUCAGCUCGAGGAUAGGGGCACCGCCGUGGCCGCACAGGAACUGCACCUCAGUUUCCCCACCUGUGAAACCAGGAGGCUGCGUUAGUCUUGUGCCUCCCAGCUCGGGGAGGAGAGAUGCGCCCUGAGCCCAGGGCGAGGGGCCGCCCCCAGAUGGCUGUGACUCGGAGCCGGGCUUUCUACUUUAGCAGUGUAGUGGGUGGUCGCAAAGCUGAGUGUUUCAGAACUCAGACCCUCCCCUCCGACGGGCCUGGGUGAAAACUCAGGGGCGCAGAGCAAGGAUGACUUUGUAGGAUCCUAGCACCUUCCUCUCCCGACUUGCUGCGGGACACCGACCCUCUGGGUAAAAGAAGACCUGCGCAUUACUCUCACAGGGGGUUUGUAUCAGCGCUUUGGAAAAGGCAUUGGGUUGCAUAACGAAGACGAAGAUUGCCGCUCAAUAUCAACUGCUUGCACCUCGGAGCCUGAUCGAGCAACAGACUGCGUGCAGAGGCAGAGCUCCUGGGAGAGGCUCAGCGGAGUGUGGGCCGGAGCUGGAUAGGGAAGCAGCAGAAGGGAUGCUUGCCGGAUCUCCAGGAGCUGCCCAGUCCUGGCACUCCGCUAUUUGGCGAUUCUGCACCCGCGCUGUCCAAUAAGGUACCCAUGAGCCACGUGUGGCUGUUGAGUACUUGAAAUGUAGUGUGGGGACCCACUGGAACCCAGAGUUGGCAUGAAGAUUAUUUUAAGCUGAAGAUAUUUGAGAUUCAACAGAUGCAGCAAAAAGCCUUCUGGGAGCUUCCCUUAUCUGAGGAAAAGCAGCAACUUCUGGGAAAUGAGGCUACCAUAAAUCCCCUCUCCAGGGGAGUCUCAUGGCCUUGAAGAAGAUAAGAGACCAUUCAUACCAGUAUAGACAAAUAGUAUCACAAACUUUCUUAUUUUCUGUCGAUUCUCCUAAAAUCCCAUUUAUUAGUUCCUAAAGAAAUGUGUGUUGUUUUUUUUCUUCCAUAGAAGCCACUAUUCCCCCUCCCUUUUCCCUACUAGGUUAGGUUUAUAAACCUUUAACUUGAAUCAUUUAAUGAGCCAGGUACUUCCUUUGUUGGCUACCAUAUGCAUAGGAAAUACACUUUUUUUCUCCUGUUAAUCUGUCCUUUGUCAGUUUAAUUCUCUGGCCUCUGCAACUGAACCUAGGAGGGUAGAGGAAAAGAUUUUUCCUCCCGUGCAGUGGCUUCUUGGCAUUGAUAUAUGUGAGAAGUGUAAAAUACACACAGGAUUUCAAAGACUUAACUUGAACUUGUGAAC